UUUUUAUUAGUUUUGCUUCAGAAUUAUAUUGGGGGGCUGGAGCUGUAGCUCAGUGGCAGAGUGUUUGCCUAGCACGUGUGAGGCACUGGGUUAGAUUCUUAGCACCACAUAAAAAUAAACAAAUACAAUAAAGGCAUGCUGUCCAUUUAUAACUACAAAAAAAAAUUAAAAUUAGGAAGCAUCCUUUUUUUCUACUUUGUCUGGAAGAUUGAAAUAAACUAUUUCUUGAACAUUUGGAGGAACAUACUGUUUAAUUAUCUAAGCUAGAUACUUUUGUUGUUGUUGUUUUGGUAGCAGGGAUUGAACCCAGGGGCGCUUAACCACUGAGCAAUAUCUCCAGUCCUUUUUUUAAAUUUUUAAUUUGCUAAUUUGCUUAGGGCCUCUCUAAGUUUCUGACGCUGGCCUCAAACUUGCAAUCCUCCUACCUUAGCCUCCUGAAUCACUGGGAAUAAUCACUGGGAGUAAAGGUAUGCCCCACCAUGCUUUGCUUAGAUCCUUCUUUUAUUUAUCAGUGACUUAUCCUUCCUUGAUUAAUCACUCUAGAGAUUUGUCUAUUUUAUUAUUUAUCAAAGAAGCAACUUUUGACUAUUGUUCUUGUUGAAUCUUUAACUUUUGUUCUUAUUUUUUAUUACCUCUAUUCUUCUAUUUUCUUUUACUUCUGUUUUUUUCCCCACUCUUUCUUGUUAAAUCUGAUGUUCUUGUCCUUCAUAUUUCACCAUUUUUCUUAAGACAAGAAUUUAGAUCUAGAGGUUUUUCUCUCCAACUUCUGUUUCAUCCCACAAAUUUUGAUGUACAGUCUUUUUAGUUCUGAGUAUUUUUUUCUAUUUCUGUUUUGAUUUCUUAAAUGACUCAUUAUUUGGGAUGAUAUUUUUGUGUACUUUGUUUUAAAAUAUAUUUUUUGUUGUUUAUCUGUAAUUCAAUUGCAUUGAGUUGUUUUAUAUGCUGUCAAACUUCAAAUUCUAUUAAUGUUUGUUUUAUGGAUUUGUACUCAGUCGAUUUUUAUAGUGUACCUUAUAUGUUUAUACCUAUAGGGUCAGCAUUCUAUUUAUAUUCAGUAAAUGAAGGGUAUUAAUUAUGUUUUCAAGUGUUUUAGAUCUUUGCCUUUUUUUUGGGGGGGGUCCUGGUAGAUCUAUCAGUAAUUGUGUUGUGUUAAAGUUUAAUUGCCCUGAUUUGAUCAGUAAAUAUUGUAUACGUGACUUGAAGCAUCACACAGUACCCCAUAAAUGUCUAUACUUAUUAUAUGUUAAACAAAAAAUUUAAACAAAUAAAGAGAAAUGUUAACUAUCCUGAUUUGAUCAUUACACACUAUAAAUAUAUUCUGAAUUAUCACACUGUACCCCAUAAGUCACUUUCUCCUUUUUGUAAUUCUAUUAGGUCAAUACAAAUUUAAGAAUUAUAAUAUCUUCCUGGAAAAUUGAAACUUUGUUAUUUAUAUAGCCAUCCUUCUAAAAUUCUCUUAUCUGUAAUUAGCUUAUUAAGCUUUUUGUUAUUUUAUCUACAUAGGCAAGUUUGGACCAGAGAAAUAGAAUUACUAUGCAUGAUAUAGCAUAAGGAUUUUUUUAGGGGUUAGAUUUUCCAUAAUUGUAAACUCUGCAAGACUGUUAUCUUUGCAUCUAUUGUUGAGCCUCAAAUUACUGGCUGGCAGUCAGAGGGUUGGACAUGAAGUGGGGGAGUGCAAGGACAAACAGGAGCCCAUGAAGACAACCUAAAACCUGCGUAUGCUUCCAACAUUGAUGAUAUGGAUGGCCUUCAGGAGAAGCUGGUGCCCUUUGUCAAAUAGCCAUAUACACACCUGGCCCAGGAAGAAGUUGGAGGAGGAGAGCCAAUCGUAGCUAAAGGCAUUCUGGCCAGAUGCUGCCCUAUGCCAGUAUGGUGGACUACUAAAUCAGCAGUAUUGUGCACAAGCCCCCACAGUGGUUGGUACCCUACGUUAACUUUCAGAGGGUGAAAAUGGCUGCUCUUAGAAUAGAAUAGACAUUAUGAUUGCUGUAUGUAUAUAGGUGACUCUAUGACCAGUGUGAUUCUGCAAUCUGUACAAUUAGAAAAAUGAGAAAUUAUACCCCAAUGAUUCAAAUGUAUGAAUUGCCAAGAUCAUUGUAAUAUCAUGAAUAGC
rnacentral:lncRNA from 1 species